GUUAAAUCCUUGGUUCAAAAAUCCAUUUCUUGUGGGAUUAUUACUAAGUGCAAGAUUCUCUACAACUUGGUACAAUUAUUUUGGCAAGAAACUAUCUUUGGUAGCAAGGAGAAUUUGUUGGUAAAAAGAUUCUGGACGAGAUUGGAAUCGAAGCCAAGCGAGCGUAAGGCGCAAUCGAGGUACAGACGCACCUGAAGAUACGCCGCCAGUCUAGGGCUCAG